rnacentral:lncRNA from 1 species
AUGUAAAAAUUAUUGAGUUUAGUGAUGAAAGUUGGCCUUCCACUGGUGCUCUCUAUAAUAUGGAUAAUAUAUUUACGGUGUCUUGUGAUGACAUAUGUUUAUUUAUAUAUAUGGUAAAAGAUUAUUGCAGUGUAGAUUGCAUGUGAUGAUGAUAUAUAGAAAAAGUCAGUGUGCUGAACCCAAUUUUAGAGGUGCAUAAAAAAAAGUUCACGAAUACAUUAUUUUAAUCUUAUUCAUGUAAAUCAUAUACAUGACAGUAAAUACAUGAUUUUAUGAUUCACCCAUGCACAUGACCAGUUGAACAUUAGUAUACAGUUGAAACUGCCUGGAUAUAAUAGGCACAUAGAAAGUAUUAGCUUUGCUCUGGCCAUACAUCGCUACCAUAAGCUUUGGUGGUGCAGUAGUUUAAGCUGAAUAUAGUAGAUCUAUGAAUAAUAUUGAUACGUGAACUAAGAUUCACAGUAUGGCAGUAUACAUAUAGAUAUAUAUAGAGUCAUGGGUGAAAAAAAAAUGCACUCUGAAAUGAAAGAAUAGCAUUUGCACGUGAUUGUUAUCUUUCUUAUGCUUUAAUAGUUUGCUUACUGUACUUCUGAAGUUGGGUUUAGUACACACAUCAUACACACUUAUUUAACUUCAUUGCAUUUGAUAUAUUGAUUUAUAGUAUAUUCUAUAUUGGGGAUACUGUUUAAUUUCGUGAUUGUUUUGUUCUGGUAGCACAAUCAUGUAAUCGGUACUGAUUUUCUCGAAAAUAAUUGCUUGGCCUUAGUUCAUUACAGAUUAUAUGUAUCCAAAAUUACGUUAAUUUAGUAUUUUUACCUUCCCCAAUCUCCGUGCUCUGCACGUAAAAUGUUAAUAUAUGUGGUUGUCGGUAUCUCCAAAAACAUAAAGAUUUUUUAAUUUUUUUUAU